AGCCGCGUGGUCUAGUCGUAUGAUUGCUGCUUCGGGUGGAUUCCCAUCGUGUAAACCAUGGUUGUAGCAGAUCCCGGGUUCAAAUCCCGGCGCGGCCC